CGGAGCUGCCGCGCGCUGCCCAGCCCCGGCCGAAUUCCUGCCCCGGCCCCCGCGCCCUCCGCCCCGCGGGACAGCUGCGCCGGAAAAGCCAGCGCGGAUUGGCCGCCGUGGGGAGAGGGAUGUGGGGCACAUGGGGUGCGGGGACGGGGAAGGGAUGGGUCCUGGUGGGGGUACUGCAGCGCUGGUGGGUGCGAGGAGGGAGGUGGGGUGCUGGGCCACCCCCUGCAUCCAUCUGUCCAGUGCUACCUUCUCAUGUCUGUCCAUCCCGUAUCCAUCCGUCCCACAUCCGUCCUCCCAUAGCUAUCCAUCCCAUGUCCACCCAUCCCAUGUCCAUCUGUCCUGUGUCCAUGAAUCCAGUGUCCACCCAUCCCAUGUCCAUCCAACACCUACCCAUCCAUUCAUACCCAUCCAUCCAUAUUCCAUCCCUCCUAUGUCCACCCGCCCCAUGUUCAUCCAUCCGCAGUCCAUCCACCCCGUGUCCAUCUGUCCUAUAUCCAUCCAUCCCGUGUCCGCCCAUCCCGGAUCCAUCCAUCUUGUACCAUCUGCUUGUAUCCAUGAGCUCAGUGUCCGUCUGUCCCAUGUCCAUCCCUCCAUACCCUUCCAUCCCAUGCCCGUCUGUCCUGUGUCAACCCACUCUGCAUCCACCCACCCCAUAUCUGUCCAUCCCAUGUCAGUCUAUCCAUAUCCAUCCACGCUGUGUCCAUCCGUCCCACGUCUAUCUGUCCCAUAUCUAUCACCCCAUGUCUGCCAUCCCAUACCCAUCCGUUCCAUCCCUUCCAUGUCCAUCCCUCCCAUCAUCCCUGGACACACGGGGGAGGGGGCAGUGUGCCGAGCCCCCACCCCUGCCCACCCGCCCCGCGUCCACCCACCUGGUGUCCACCUGCCCCAUCUCCUCGGGGUGGGUGCUGGGGUGGAGGUUGGGCACCCGCUCCCCCCGCCCCCCUCCCACCCACGCUGCCUUCUCCGGGAUGGGUGACCCUGCAGGGUGGGGGACGGGGGCUUCCACGGGACGGGGGGCAGGAGGUGGAGGAACCCAGGGUAGGGACGCGGGGACACCCCCAUCCCACAAAUCCUCCCAGGCAGGAGGGGGCUGAGCAGACACCACGGGGGCCGU
rnacentral:lncRNA from 1 species